rnacentral:rRNA from 1 species
UACGUAGGGUCCGAGCGUUGUCCGGAUUUAUUGGGCGUAAAGAGCUCGUAGGCGGUUCCGUAAGUCAGAUGUGAAAACUCAGGGCUCAACCCGGAGACGCCAUCUGAUACUGCGGUGACUGGAGUCUGGUAGGGGAACACGGAAUUCCUGGUGUAGCGGUGAAAUGCGCAGAUAUCAGGAGGAACACCGGUGGCGAAGGCGGAUCUCUGGGCCUUACCUGACGCUGAGGCGCGAAAGCUAGGGGAGCAAACAGG